CAACCGCGGUCCCAGGGACCAGGGAGUACUCUCGGGCUGCGCUCUGGGCGUCACCCCGCGCGGCUGCGGACAACUGAAUAAACACCACGAAGCGCUGCGAUCUGUCAAGGGCUGGGAUCGCCU
rfam:Myotis lucifugus cont2.23625, whole genome shotgun sequence.